CUGAAGGGCUUCAAAUGAAGUCUCCACAGAAAUCCCUUGAACCUGUAUGUUUUUUUAUGAAAAUACAGUGUGCACCUCAAGACGUCAAGCUAUGUUUGACGACUUAACCAUUUGAACCAGUUGAAUUACGGAGUCAACUUCGCUUUUGUAUUUUUUUUUAUGAAGAUACGAAAUGUCGAGCAACG